AGCUUUGUGCAGUGGCAAUAUUGCAGCCAAUGAAGUUUAUCUGAAGCACAAUUAUUGCUAUAGAGGGAAAUUCAUAGCAUUCAAUUUGUACAUUAAAAAAGCACAGCCUGAAAAUUAGUAAGUUAA
ensembl:snRNA U4 U4 spliceosomal RNA